rnacentral:rRNA from 1 species
GUGAGGAAUAUUGGUCAAUGGACGAGAGUCUGAACCAGCCAAGUCGCGUGAAGGAAGACGGUUCUAUGAAUUGUAAACUUCUUUUGUGCAGGAAUAAAGUGGGUUACGUGUAACCUUUUGUAUGUACUGUACGAAUAAGGAUCGGCUAACUCCGUGCCAGCAGCCGCGGUAAUACGGAGGAUCCGAGCGUUAUCCGGAUUUAUUGGGUUUCAAGGGUGCGUAGGUGGAUUGAUAAGUCAGCGGUGAAAGUUUGCAGCUUAACUGUAAAAUUGCCGUUGAAACUGUCGGGCUUGAGUGCAAAUGAGGUAGGCGGAAUGUGUUGUGUAGCGGUGAAAUGCUUAGAUAUAACACAGAACUCCGAUUGCGAAGGCAGCUUACUGGGAUGCAACUGACACUGAUGCACGAAAGCGUGGGUAUCAAACAGGAUUAGAUACCCGGGUAGUCC